AUUGAACGCUGGCGGCAUGCUUUACACAUGCAAGUCGAACGGUAACAGGUUAAGCUGACGAGUGGCGAACGGGUGAGUAAUGCAUCGGAACGUGCCCGAUCGUGGGGGAUAACGCAGCGAAAGCUGCGCUAAUACCGCAUACGAUCUGAGGAUGAAAGCGGGGGACCGUAAGGCCUCGCGCGAUCGGAGCGGCCGAUGUCAGAUUAGGUAGUUGGUGGGGGAAAGGCUCACCAAGCCAACGAUCUGUAGCUGGUCUGAGAGGACGACCAGCCACACUGGGACUGAGAAACGGCCCAGACUCCUACGGGAGGCAGCAGUGGGGAAUUUUGGACAAUGGGCGAAAGCCUGAUCCAGCAAUGCCGCGUGCAGGAAGAAGGCCUUCGGGUUGUAAACUGCUUUUGUACGGAGCGAAAAGGUCUCCUCUAAUACAGGGGGCUCAUGACGGUACCGUAAGAAUAAGCACCGGCUAACUACGUGCCAGCCGCCGCGGUAAAAC
rnacentral:rRNA from 1 species